AGUAGGGGCUGAAGGUAUGCAUGUUGAUCAGCAGGGGCUGAAGGUAUGCAUGUUGAUCAGUAGGGGCUGAAGGUAUGCAUGUUGAUCAGUAGGGGCUGAAGGUAUGCAUGUUGAUCAGCAGGGGCUGAAGGUAUGCAUGUUGAUCAGUAGGGGCUGAAGGUAUGCAUGUUGAUCAGUAGGGGCUGAAGGUAUGCAUGUUGAUCAGUAGGGGCUGAAGGUAUGCAUGUUGAUCAGUAGGGGCUGAAGGUAUGCAUGUUGAUCAGCAGGGGCUGAAGGUAUGCAUGUUGAUCAGCAGGGGCUGAAG
ensembl:lncRNA